CCUACGGGGGGCAGCAGUGAGGAAUAUUGGUCAAUGGACGAGAGUCUGAACCAGCCAAGUAGCGUGAAGGAUGAAUGCCCUAUGGGUUGUAAACUUCUUUUAUAAAGGAAUAAAACGAGGCACGUGUGCCUUUUUGCAUGUACUUUAUGAAUAAGGAUCGGCUAACUCCGUGCCAGCAGCCGCGGUAAUAAGGAGGAUCCGAGCGUUAUCCGGAUUUAUUGGGUGUAAAGGGAGCGUAGAUGGGUUGUUAAGUCAGUUGUGAAAGUUUGCGGCUCAACCGUAAAAUUGCAAUUGAUACUGGUAGUCUUGAGUACAGUUGAGGGAGGCGGAAUUCGUGGUGUAGCGGUGAAAUGCUUAGAUAUCACGAAGAACCCCGAUGGCGAAGGCAGCUUACUAAACUGUGACUGACAUUGAUGCUCGAAAGUGUGGGUAUCAAACAGGAUUAGAUACCCGAGUAGUC
rnacentral:rRNA from 1 species